GCACUGCCCACAGCCCCCCAUGCAGUGCACCCCUCCCCAAGGCCCCGCACUGCCCAUUGCCCCCGGGCCAGCAGCACAGCUGCCCUGCGCGCCCCGCUCACCUCCACUGUCUGCCUGCCCGGGUGCUCCUCCCGCAGCAGCCGGUCCCCAGUGCUCUGGAUCUCUUUGAUUUUCCGCUCCCUCAGCUCCAGCUCCCGCAUCAGACCCUGGCAUGGAGCCGAGGAGCAGAGGUGAGCACCUGUACCCUGGCCAGGCUGUGAGUGGGGCCAGCACAGCCUGUGUGUAUGUGUGCGUGUGCGUGUGCGUGUGAGUGCACUGCGGGUGCUGGGGGUUGAGGCACCCUCCUGCCUCCCAGGCGGUCUGCAGUUGCCAGAGGCUGCUCAGAGGAAGGGGAUGCUCAGAGUCAGUGUUAGGGCCAGUGGCCACGACAGGAGUGGGGUGCAGAGAUGGGGUGCAUGGAGACAGGGGAAGAGGGGCUAGGAGGGCUGAGAGACAGGGGCUAGGGUGCGCAAAGCCUGUGGGUGGGAUGGGGGUGCAGAGAUCUGUAACACAUCAAGCCCAGUCUGGAGGAUGCGUGCAUGUUAAUGCAUGUGCAAGCGCAGCAGGAGGAACAGCAGAAGAAGGGUUAAAGGACUGGCACGUGCUCAGCGUGCUUAGCGCUGCAGGGCGCAAUGUGGUUUCAUUCAAAUGAUCAGAUAGCAAGAAAGGAAGAAGACCAAAGUCCUACAGAUCAGAGAUAAAAAGCAGGGCUGGAGCCAUCAACCAGUUCGGCAAAGAGCACAACACAGCAGCGGGCUGGCCCAAGGCAGAGAGGACAAGACAAGACACUGAGGCUGAGGGUCCCAAGGGCAUCCUCAGCUAUGGGGUGCAAGAGGCACCUCCAAAAAUCAGUGUGCAGGGACGGGGAGGGACGGGUCCAUGCAAGGACAGGUGUGUGCAGGGAUGGGGCCGUGCAAGCACAGUCCUGCACCAGGGUCUCUCCGUACCGAGUAGUUCUCCUUCUUGGCCAUCAUGUUGGGGUUGUGGUCGCUCCAGUCGAAGUUCACCUCCUCCUCCUCCUUCUCGUUGAGCCACAUCAGCUCCUUGGUGGCAGCACUCACGAAGCCGUGCAGGCUCUCCAGGUGCCGCCCGUCCUUGAGGGUCUGCACGUCGUUGAAGAGCAGCCGGAUCAUGGCAUCCGCCUUGUCCAGGUCCCGCUCGAUCUCGGCCGCCUUCUGCGGCGGCUUCCCGGCGUUCAGCAGCCGGAUGUCCUGCCGGGCAUGGCAUGCUCAGGGCGCCGCCACUUCGCCUGCCACGGGGACCCCCCGCCCGGCGCCCCAGGAAACCCUCCGGCGGCAGGAACCGCAUCUCACCGACUGCAGCAGGGUGUCCGCCUGGUUGAGCUGCUCCUCGCAGAGCCCCGACUCCAUCUGCAGCUUGCUGACGAUGCGCUGCAGCCGCUCCAACCUGUGCGGGGAGAGGGCAGGGUUGGGGAAGGCACACAGGCACAGACUCCAUCUCUGCACGGCACAGAUCCUGCCCUGCACAGCACGGAUCCUGUCCAUGCACGGCACGGAUCCUGCCCCCACAUUGCACGGACCCCACCCCUGCACAGGCUCGGAUCCCAUCCAUGCAUGGCACAGACCCCAACCAUGCAUGGCAUGGAUCCCAUCCACGCACAGCACAGACCCCAGCCCCACAUUGCACAGACCCCAUCCAUGCACAAGCUCAGAUCCCAUCCACGCAUGGCACAGACCCCAGCCCCACAUUGCACGGACCCCAUCCAUGCACAGGCUCAGAUCCCAUCCACGCAUGGCACAGACCCCAGCCCCACAUUGCACGGACCCCAUCCAUGCACAGGCUCAGAUCCCAUCCACGCAUGGCACAGACCCCAGCCCCACAUUGCACGGACCCCAUCCAUGCACAGGCUCAGAUCCCAUCCACGCAUGGCACAGACCCCAGCCCCACAUUGCACGGACCCCAUCCAUGCACAGGCUCAGAUCCCAUCCACGCAUGGCACAGACCCCAGCCCCACAUUGCACGGACCCCAUCCAUGCACAGGCUCAGAUCCCAUCCACGCAUGGCACAGACCCCAGCCCCACAUUGCACGGACCCCAUCCAUGCACAGGCUCAGAUCCCAUCCACGCAUGGCACAGACCCCAGCCCCACAUUGCACGGACCCCAUCCAUGCACAGGCUCAGAUCCCAUCCACGCAUGGCACAGACCCCAGCCCCACAUUGCACGGACCCCAUCCAUGCACAGGCUCAGAUCCCAUCCACGCAUGGCACAGACCCCAGCCCCACAUUGCACGGACCCCAUCCAUGCACAGGCUCAGAUCCCAUCCACGCAUGGCACAGACCCCAGCCCCACAUUGCACGGACCCCAUCCAUGCACAGGCUCAGAUCCCAUCCAUGCAUGGCACAGACCCCAGCCCCACAUUGCACGGAUCCCAUCCAUGCACAGGCUUGGAUCCCAUCCAUGCACAGAUCCUGUCCUGGCAUGACCCACAUCCCAUUCCCGCGCAAGCACAGACUCUGUCCUUGCACGGCAGAGAUCCCGCCCCUCCACGGGCUUGGACAGAUCCCAUCCUGCUGCAGCACGGAGCCUGUCCCUGCACGGCAUGGAUCCCAUCCCGCUCCUGCACUGGCAAGCCUCCCAUC
rnacentral:lncRNA from 1 species